GUGUCCCUUCGGCAGCACACACACUAAAACUGGAACAACACAGAGAAGAUUAGCGUGGCCCCUACACCAGGAUGACACACAUAUUUAUGAAGCGUUCCAUAUUUUU